AGGGGAGAGNGGAAUUCCAUGUGUAGCGGUGAAAUGCGUAGAUAUAUGGAGGAACACCGGUGGCGAAAGCGGCUCUCUGGUCUGUAACUGACGCUGAGGCUCGAAAGCGUGGGGAGCAANCAGGAUUAGAUACCCUGGUAGUCCACGCCGUAAACGAUGAGUGCUAGGUGUUGGGUCCUUUCCGGGACUCAGUGCCGCAGCUAACGCAUUAAGCACUCCGCCUGGGGAGUACGACCGCAAGGUUGAAACUCAAAGGAAUUGACGGGGGCCCGCACAAGCGGUGGAGCAUGUGGUUUAAUUCGAAGCAACGCGAAGAACCUUACCAGGUCUUGACAUCCCUCUGACCGCUCUAGAGAUAGAGUUUUCCUUCGGGACAGAGGUGACAGGUGGUGCAUGGUUGUCGUCAGCUCGUGUCGUGAGAUGUUGGGUUAAGUCCCGCAACGAGCACAACCCCUAUUGUUAGUUGCCAUCAUUGAGUUGGGCACUCUAGCGAGACUGCCGGUAAUAAACCGGAGGAAGGUGGGGAUGACGUCAAAUCAUCAUGCCCCUUAUGACCUGGGCUACACACGUGCUACAAUGGCUGGUACAACGAGUCGCGAGUCGGUGACGGCAAGCUAAUCUCUUAAAGCCAGUCUCAGUUCGGAUUGUAGGCUGCAACUCGCCUACAUGAAGUCGGAAUCGCUAGUAAUCGCGGAUCAGCACGCCGCGGUGAAUACGUUCCCGGGCCUUGUACACACCGCCCGUCACACCACGAGAGUUUGUAACACCCGAAGUCGGUGAGGUAACCGUAAGGAG
rnacentral:rRNA from 1 species